rnacentral:tRNA from 1 species
UCUCUGGUAGUCUAGUGGUUAGGAUUUGCUUUCACUGCUGUGGCCCAGGUUCGAUUCCUGGUCUGGGAG